rnacentral:rRNA from 1 species
ACGAGUUUGAUCCUGGCUCAGGAUGAACGCUAGCGGCAGGCCUAACACAUGCAAGUCGAGGGGUAUAGGGAGCCUGCUUCCUAGAGACCGGCGCACGGGUGCGUAACGCGUAUGCAAUCUACCUUGUACAGGGGAAUAGCCCAGAGAAAUUUGGAUUAAUGCCCCAUAGUAUUAUUAAAUGGCAUCCUUUAAUAAUUAAAGUUCCAACGGUACAAGAUGAGCAUGCGUCCUAUUAGUUAGUUGGUGUGGUAACGGCAUACCAAGACGAUGAUAGGUAGGGGUCCUGAGAGGGAAAUCCCCCACACUGGUACUGAGACACGGACCAGACUCCUACGGGAGGCAGCAGUGAGGAAUAUUGGACAAUGGGCGCAAGCCUGAUCCAGCCAUGCCGCGUGCAGGAAGACGGUCCUAUGGAUUGUAAACUGCUUUUAUACAGGAAGAAACACUGGUUCGUGAACCAGCUUGACGGUACUGUAAGAAUAAGGAUCGGCUAACUCCGUG